rnacentral:tRNA from 1 species
ACAAUAAUAGUUUAAGUGAAAAAUGAUGAUUUUGUAAGUCAAUGAGUGGAAAAUUAAUGUUUCUUAUUGUA